rnacentral:rRNA from 1 species
GUCCACACCGUAAACGUUGGGCGCUAGGUGUGGGACCUAUUCCAUGGGUUCCGUGCCGUAGCUAACGCAUUAAGCGCCCCGCCUGGGGAGUACGGCCGCAAGGCUAAAACUCAAAGGAAUUGACGGGGGCCCGCACAAGCGGCGGAGCAUGCGGAUUAAUUCGAUGCAACGCGAAGAACCUUACCUGGGUUUGACAUACACCGGAAGCCUCUAGAGAUAGGGGUCUCUUUGAUACUGGUGUACAGGUGGUGCAUGGCUGUCGU